AUUGAACGCUGGCGGCAGGCUUAACACAUGCAAGUCGAGCGGGGUGAUGGUGCUUGCACUAUCACUUAGCGGCGGACGGGUGAGUAAUGCUUAGGAAUCUGCCUAUUAGUGGGGGACAACAUCUCGAAAGGGAUGCUAAUACCGCAUACGUCCUACGGGAGAAAGCAGGGGAUCACUUGUGACCUUGCGCUAAUAGAUGAGCCUAAGUCGGAUUAGCUAGUUGGUGGGGUAAAGGCCUACCAAGGCGACGAUCUGUAGCGGGUCUGAGAGGAUGAUCCGCCACACUGGGACUGAGACACGGCCCAGACUCCUACGGGAGGCAGCAGUGGGGAAUAUUGGACAAUGGGGGGAACCCUGAUCCAGCCAUGCCGCGUGUGUGAAGAAGGCCUUAUGGUUGUAAAGCACUUUAAGCGAGGAGGAGGCUCUUUUGGUUAAUACCCAAGAUGAGUGGGCGUUACUCGCAGAAUAAGCACCGGCUAACUCUGUGCCAGCAGCCGCCGUAACAC
rnacentral:rRNA from 1 species